rnacentral:tRNA from 3 species
GCGUCCGUAGCGCAAUUGGAUAGCGCAUCAGAUUCCGGUUCUGAGGGUUGGGGGUUCGAGUCCCUUCGGGCGUGCCA